rnacentral:rRNA from 1 species
AGCAGCCGCGGUAAUUCCAGCUCCAAUAGCGUAUAUUAAAGUUGUUGCAGUUAAAAAGCUCGUAGUUGAAUUUCGGGAUCAGUACGCUGGUCGUGCCUUUGGUAUGUACUGGUGUCACUGAUUCCUCCCUUCUGAAGAACCGUUAUGCCAUUUAUUUGGUGUGGCGGGGAAUCAGGACUGUUACUUUGAAAAAUUAGAGUGUUUAAAGCAGGCUCGCGCUUGAAUACAUUAGCAUGGAAUAAUGAAAUAGGACGUUUGAUCUUAUUUUGUUGGUUUCUAGGAUCGACGUAAUGAUUAAUAGGGAUAGUUGGGGGCAUUAGUAUUCAAUUGUCAGAGGUGAAAUUCUUGGAUUUAUUGAAGACUAACUACUGCGAAAGCAUUUGCCAAGGAUGUUUUCAUUAAUCAAGAACGAAAGUUAGGGGAUCGAAGACGAUCAGAUACCGUCGUAGUCUUAACCAUAAACUAUGCCGACUAGGGAUCGGAUGAUGUUAAUUUUUAAUGACUCAUUCGGCGCCUUACG